rnacentral:rRNA from 1 species
GUUUGAUCCUGGCUCAGGACGAACGCUGGCGGCGUGCCUAAUACAUGCAAGUGGGACGCAAGGGAACACACUGUGCUUGCACACCGUGUUUUCUUGAGUCGCGAACGGGUGAGUAACGCGUAGGUAACCUGCCUAUUAGCGGGGGAUAACUAUUGGAAACGAUAGCUAAUACCGCAUAAUAUUAAUUAUUGCAUGAUAAUUGAUUGAAAGAUGCAAGCGCAUCACUAGUAGAUGGACCUGCGUUGUAUUAGCUAGUUGGUAAGGUAAGAGCUUACCAAGGCGACGAUACAUAGCCGACCUGAGAGGGUGAUCGGCCACACUGGGACUGAGACACGGCCCAGACUCCUACGGGAGGCAGCAGUAGGGAAUCUUCGGCAAUGGACGAAAGUCUGACCGAGCAACGCCGCGUGAGUGAAGAAGGUUUUCGGAUCGUAAAGCUCUGUUGUAAGUCAAGAACGUGUGUGAGAGUGGAAAGUUCACACAGUGACGGUAGCUUACCAGAAAGGGACGGCUAACUACGUGCCAGCAGCCGCGGUAAUACGUAGGUCCCGAGCGUUGUCCGGAUUUAUUGGGCGUAAAGGGAGCGCAGGCGGUCAGGAAAGUCUGGAGUAAAAGGCUAUGGCUCAACCAUAGUGUGCUCUGGAAACUGUCUGACUUGAGUGCAGAAGGGGAGAGUGGAAUUCCAUGUGUAGCGGUGAAAUGCGUAGAUAUAUGGAGGAACACCAGUGGCGAAAGCGGCUCUCUGGUCUGUCACUGACGCUGAGGCUCGAAAGCGUGGGUAGCGAACAGGAUUAGAUACCCUGGUAGUCCACGCCGUAAACGAUGAGUGCUAGGUGUUAGGCCCUUUCCGGGGCUUAGUGCCGGAGCUAACGCAAUAAGCACUCCGCCUGGGGAGUACGCCGCAAGGUUGAAACUCAAAGGAAUUGACG